rnacentral:rRNA from 1 species
UGCUGUGAAGUGUUGGGUUAAGUCCGCAACGAGCGCAACCCCUAUCAUCUGUUGCCAGCAUUUAAGGUGGGGACGUCAGAUGAGACUGCCGGUGACAAACCGGAGGAAGGUGGGGACGACGUCAAGUCAUCAUGGCCCUUAUGUCCUGGGCUACACACGUGCUACAAUGGCCGGUACAGAGUGAAGCGAAACCGCGAGGUGAAGCAAAACGCAGAAAGCCGGUCUCAGUACGGAUUGGAGUCUGAAACUCGACUUCAUGAAGUUGGAAUCGCUAGUAAUCGCGCAUCAGCAUGGCGCGGUGAAUACGUUCCCGGGCCUU